AGAGUUUGAUCCUGGCUCAGGAUGAACGCUAGCUACAGGCUUAACACAUGCAAGUCGAGGGGCAGCAUGGGAGUAGCUUGCUACUCUUGAUGGCGACCGGCGCACGGGUGCGUAACACGUAUCCAAUCUACCCAUGGCUCGGGAAUAGCCUUUCGAAAGAAAGAUUAAUGCCCGAUGGUCUGUCAGUGAGACAUCUCGCAGGCAGUAAAGAUUAAUCGGCGAUGGAUGAGGAUGCGUCUGAUUAGGUAGAUGGCGGGGUAACGGCCCACCAUGCCGACGAUCAGUAGGGGUUCUGAGAGGAAGGUCCCCCACAUUGGAACUGAGACACGGCCCAGACUCCUACGGGAGGCAGCAGUGGGGAAUAUUGCACAAUGGAGGAAACUCUGAUGCAGCAACGCCGCGUGAGUGAAGAAGUAUUUCGGUAUGUAAAGCUCUAUCAGCAGGGAAGAAAACGACGGUACCUGACUAAGAAGCCCCGGCUAACUACGUGCCAGCAGCCGCGGUAAUACGUAGGGGGCAAGCGUUAUCCGGAUUUACUGGGUGUAAAGGGAGCGUAGGCGGUUAGGCAAGUCAGAAGUGAAAGCCCAAGGCUCAACCAUGGGACUGCUUUUGAAACUGUCAGACUGGAUUGCAGGAGAGGUAAGUGGAAUUCCUGGUGUAGCGGUGAAAUGCGCAGAUAUCGGGAAGAACACCGAUGGCGAAGGCAGCCUGCUGGGCCGACACUGACGCUGAGGCGCGAAAGCUGGGGGAGCGAACAGGAUUAGAUACCCUGGUAGUCCCAGCCGUAAACGAUGGAUGCUUGGUGUGGGGGGGGGUCGUCCCUUCCGUGCCGCAGCCAACGCAUUAAGCAUCCCGCCUGGGGAGUACGGCCGCAAGGGUAAAACUCAAAGGAAUUGACGGGGGCCCGCACAAGCAGCGGAGCAUGUGGCUUAAUUCGAAGCAACGCGAAGAACCUUACCAGGGCUUGACAUGCUAGUGAAGCGGCGGAGACGCCGUGGCCGAGAGGAGCUAACGCAGGUGGUGCAUAGCUGUCGUCAGCUCGUGUCGUGAGAUGUUGGGUUAAGUCCCGCAACGAGCGCAACCCUUAUUGUUAGUUGCUACGCAAGAGCACUCUAGCGAGACUGCCGUUGACAAAACGGAGGAAGGUGGGGACGACGUCAAAUCAUCAUGCCCCUUAUGUCCUGGGCUACACACGUAAUACAAUGGCGUUCAACAGAGGGAGGCAAAACCGCGAGGUGGAGCAAAUCCCCAAAAGGCGUCUCAGUUCGGAUGGUGGGCUGCAACCCGCCCACGUGAAGUCGGAAUUGCUAGUAAUCGCGGAUCAGCAUGCCGCGGUGAAU
rnacentral:rRNA from 1 species